rnacentral:rRNA from 1 species
CUACGGGAGGCAGCAGUGGGGAAUAUUGCACAAUGGGGGAAACCCUGAUGCAGCAACGCCGCGUGAGUGAAGAAGGCCUUCGGGUUGUAAAGCUCUGUCUUUUGGGACGAUAAUGACGGUACCAAAGGAGGAAGCCACGGCUAACUACGUGCCAGCAGCCGCGGUAAUACGUAGGUGGCAAGCGUUGUCCGGAUUUACUGGGCGUAAAGGAUGCGUAGGUGGAUAUUUAAGUGGGAUGUGAAAUACCCGGGCUCAACUUGGGUGCUGCAUUCCAAACUGGAUAUCUGGAGUGCAGGAGAGGAAAGCGGAAUUCCUAGUGUAGCAGUGAAAUGCGUAGAUAUUAGGAGGAACACCAGUGGCGAAGGCGGCUUUCUGGACUGUAACUGACACUGAGGCAUGAAAGCGUGGGGAGCAAACAGGAUUAGAUACCCCGGU